UCUAUGGCGAGUUUGAUCCUGGCUCAGAGCGAACGCUGGCGGCGUACUUAACACAUGCAAGUCGAACGAGGAUCGUCGGGUUAGCAAUAAUUCGGCGGUCCUAGUGGCGUACGGGUGAGUAACACGUGGGUAACCUGCCCUAGAGUCCGGGAUACCCUCUCGAAAGGGAGGCUAAUACUGGAUACGUUCCUUGGGUCGCAGGACCUGGGGAGGAAAGGUGGCGAAAGCUGCCGCUCUUGGAGGGGCUCGCGGCCUAUCAGCUAGU
rnacentral:rRNA from 1 species